AGCGGAACGAGUUAUCUGAACCUUCGGGGGACGAUAACGGCGUCGAGCGGCGGACGGGUGAGUAAUGCCUAGGAAAUUGCCCUGAUGUGGGGGAUAACCAUUGGAAACGAUGGCUAAUACCGCAUAAUGCCUACGGGCCAAAGAGGGGGACCUUCGGGCCUCUCGCGUCAGGAUAUGCCUAGGUGGGAUUAGCUAGUUGGUGAGGUAAUGGCUCACCAAGGCGACGAUCCCUAGCUGGUCUGAGAGGAUGAUCAGCCACACUGGAACUGAGACACGGUCCAGACUCCUACGGGAGGCAGCAGUGGGGAAUAUUGCACAAUGGGCGCAAGCCUGAUGCAGCCAUGCCGCGUGUGUGAAGAAGGCCUUCGGGUUGUAAAGCACUUUCAGUCGUGAGGAAGGUGGUGUAGUUAAUAGCUGCAUUACUUGACGUUAGCGACAGAAGAAGCACCGGCUAACUCCGUGCCAGCAGCCGCGGUAAUACGGAGGGUGCGAGCGUUAAUCGGAAUUACUGGGCGUAAAGCGCAUGCAGGUGGUUUGUUAAGUCAGAUGUGAAAGCCCGGGGCUCAACCUCGGAAUAGCAUUUGAAACUGGCAGACUAGAGUACUGUAGAGGGGGGUAGAAUUUCAGGUGUAGCGGUGAAAUGCGUAGAGAUCUGAAGGAAUACCGGUGGCGAAGGCGG
rnacentral:rRNA from 1 species